rnacentral:siRNA from 1 species
AUCAUGAGGUGAGCUGAGCUGA